ACUUAAAUAAGAUUCAAUACGGCGUUUAAAAGUUGCAGUAGAAACAUUGAAGUCGAAGAGAUUAUAAUAACGUAAAAAGCACAUUUUUGUGGAACGAAGAGGGUCGUUGCUGCCAUAGCUCGUGUUUCUGGGUUCCAGAGAGAGCCAGUUUCUAUUACGCAAGGUUCUUUCUGGAGCAUAAAUAUUACAGCGAGAUAGUAGCCAGGAGCAGUCAAUUUCGUUACGAAGUAUCUUAGCCACAAACAGCGAUUGACCGAUGGAACGACGAUCCGACAGCGUGUGAAGUCCAAGUAGGGCACAACGAUGAGCGUAUGGCGGUAAAUUUAAAGGAUUCUCCCAAGGUAGCUCACGAAGAGCGUAACGCACGAACCUACGUUGGAUAGCUUCAAAACGUGCUUUCCAUGAAGCUUCAAAAGGCCACCAUACUAGGUUCGCAGAUUCCAAAAUCGAUCGCACCAGGCAGCAAUACAGAGCUCGCAAGCACACUGGAUCAGUGAAUUCUUUGCUCAAACGUAUAAUAAAUCCCAGCAUUCGGUUUACCUUUUCGAGUACCACAGAGUAAUGGCGCUUAAAAGUCAUAUGACUGUCCAACAAAACGCCAAGAUCCUUUAUCUCCUCAACACGUUGCAACUGCUCGCCCAGAAUAUCGUAAUUAUGCAUGAAAAGAUUUUUCCUACGCCCAAACGUGAUAAUACAGCACUUCGCAACGCUCAAAACAAGUAAGCUAAUACGGCACCAAUCCACGACUGCGUCCAAGAAGCGUUGCAUUCAUAACAAUCAGCUUGACUGUUUAUGACUAAAAAUAUUUUCAGGUCGUCCGCGUACAGGAGAACUCCACAUCCAACCAGCACCAAGUUUAUGUCGUUACAAAAAAGCGUAAACAAUAAAGGACCCAGAUUGCUGCCUUGGGGUACCCUAGACUUCGGAAUAAAGUCCGAGGAUUCAGCAGAGCCUAUUUUUACAGCCAAUCGCCUAUCCGUUAGUAGAAUGUCAUGGUUUACAGAAUCAAAUGCCGCUGAAAUAUCGGUAUAAAUAGCGUCAAUUUGCUUGCCGCCAUCCAUGUUUGAUAUGCAUAAUGAUGUAAAAACCAUCAGGUUUGAAGUUACCGAACGUUUGGGAAAAAAUACAUGCUGGUUCUCAGAAAUUAAGUUCCGGCAGGCCGAAAACAUGACAUCGUUGACUAUACCUUCGAGCAGGCAGCUAGCGAUGUGACACCUCGAUGGUUGGAAAUUUUUGCUGCUCUAGAGACUGAUUGAAAAUGCAGCACCAAGUUGGUGUCAACAUGAAUUUGCUCACCAUAGCGGGUAAAACAAUCCAAAUAACGAUUCGAGGUGUGGCUAGAAGGCAGGAAUGCAUGACUGGAAGAAAAGUCCAAGGUAAAAGAAUACUUGCCGUUACAUGGCAAUUCUAAGCCUCCCCCUGAACCACCUGACUGAUAAACGGGACGACUUGCAGCAGGAACGAUCGGCCGUUGGUGGUCAGAGAAGAGAACUUCCGAAUUGGCAUGGGUGGUGCGUCCCGGUGUCCAAUAGAUAUUAUUUGGUGGAUGAUUAUGGUUGAAGAGCACGAAACUGCUUCGAAUUGUAGUCUACAAAUUCCCGGAAAUAUAACCCCUUAGG